rnacentral:misc_RNA from 1 species
UUAAGUUCAGCGGGUAGUCCUACCUGAUUUGAGGUCAGAGCAAAAAAUGUCAGAAGACGGGUUAUGAGCAGUCUUACGUCUUGGCCAGCGAAACUUAUUACGCCAGAUUCGACUUGGAACCGCUAACACUUUUGAGGCGAGCCGGACGGCAGCACCCAAGUCCAUCGUCAUCGGAAACCCGAUGGGAUGAUGUUUUCAUG